rnacentral:tRNA from 1 species
GCGGCGGUAGUCUAGCCUGGUUUAGGAUGGCGGCCUUCCACGCCGACGGCGAGGAAAGCCGUUGAUCCCGGGUUCAAAUCCCGGCCGCCGCA